UACGUAGGGUGCGAGCGUUGUCCGGAAUUAUUGGGCGUAAAGAGCUCGUAGGCGGCCUGUCGCGUCGGAUGUGAAAGCCCGGGGCUUAACCCCGGGUCUGCAUUCGAUACGGGCAGGCUUGAGUUCGGUAGGGGAGACUGGAAUUCCUGGUGUAGCGGUGAAAUGCGCAGAUAUCAGGAGGAACACCGGUGGCGAAGGCGGGUCUCUGGGCCGAUACUGACGCUGAGGAGCGAAAGCGUGGGGAGCGAACAGG
rnacentral:rRNA from 1 species